rnacentral:lncRNA from 1 species
UUUUUUUUUUUUUUUUUUUUGCUUUUUAGGACCACACCUGAGGCAUAUGGAGGUUCCCAGGGCUAGGGGUUGAAUCGGAGCUGUAGCCACCAGCCUACACCACAGCCACAGCAACACAGGAUCUGAGCAGUGUCUGUGCCCUACGCCACAGCUCAUGGUAACGCCAGAUCCUUAACCCACUGAGCGAAGCCAGGGAUCAAACCUGCGUCCUCAUGGAUGCUAGUCAGAUUCAUGAACUGCUGAGCCAUGACGGGAACUCCUAAAUGUUUCCUUCUAUCACCACCCCACCAACUGCCCAGUGCCUCCGGCUUCUCACUUCCCUUCUUCCAGAAACAUCUGACCGCAGAGGACAGGUCAGGGCUCAUUCUCUGCACUGGGGACAAAAUGGGGUCGAAACCCAAAUCUACGUCAUUGGGAAGGAUCUGAGGACCUAACUGUCACUAUGACACAAACACCUGCUGCAGUAAACUAGAAAACGUGUGAGAGCCGAGUGCAGAAAAGCUGCACUCCAGUGGCCCCCCUUUCCAGCUGUGCGACCCUCUGAAUGUAAGUUUCCUCAUCUGCAGAAAAAACUAUCAUCCCCAGACCAUGCGAAUCUUCUAAGGGCUUUCCAAACUCUUCAAGUCCCACAUGAUGCCUUCCUGAUAAUCCCCGCUACGUUAAUUAAAAUGUGUGGCACUCAGUCCCAGAGGGUGGGGCGAUUAGAGAACCUGCCAGUUCCAGACAGAACAGAAUUCCUUGACUGAAACUGAAUAUGGGGCAGCCUGGAUCUCCAGGGUCAGGUGACUUAACAGAAAGUAUCCGGAAAGUCUUGACUUUAGGGGCUGGCUGUUACUUUGCUGGCUGUGUGACGCUGGGCCAAGCCUUCAACCUCUCUGGGCCUGUUUCCUCAAAAUGGGAACAAUUAGGCCCCGGGGAGUGGGGUUAAACAAAAGUUAUUAAGAAAAUAACAUAUGUUUAGGAACACACCCCCAAAUUACGGAGAUGGUACCAGAAUGGUGGGAGGUUGAAAACACUGACUGCAGGAGUUCCCUGGUGGUGCAAUGGGCUAAGGAUCCCGUAGCAUCACUGCUAUGGCUGGGGUUGCAGCUGUGGUACGGGUUCACCCCCGGCUCUGAAUCUUCCACAUGCCAUGGGAAUGGCCAAAAAAAGACAAAGAAAAUACUGACUGCAGUUGCCAUCCCUGCCAGUGACAUAUGUAUCCAGAUGCAUCCUUUUCUCUUGCUUUGGGCCCAAGACCUGACCACAUCUCCUGACCCCUCCUGGAGCUGGGUGAGGCCAGGUUUCCAGGACAGGGCAGCAGUGAUGGUGCCACAUCCAGACUCUCCACACAGCCCUCCACGCUCACCUUUUCUCUCCCCCAACUGCUGGGCCUCAGUGGGGACCCAACACACUUGAGGGAGACGGAGCCAUGAGAUGGAAGGCACCUGGGUCUCUGGGGACCAGUGUGGGCACUUGGGACUUUGCAAGAGUGAGAAAUGAACUUCUUUAUUUUUUCCCUUUUUAGGGCCACACCUGCAGCAUAUGAAAGUUCCCAGGCCAGGGGCCGAAGGGGAAACACAGCUGCCAGCCUACACCACAGCCACAGCAACACUGGAUCCGAGCCACAAAACUGCAGGUGUAGGCAACACCUACACCACAGCUCACGGCAACGGUGGAUCCUUAACCCACGGAGCAGGGCCAGGGAUCAAACCUGUAUUCCCACAGAGAGAGAGUGUCAGAUCCUUAAUCUGAUAAGCCACAUGGGAACUCCUGAAAUGAAGUUCUCUUGCAUGAAACCAUUGAGAUUUUUUCAGGACGUUCAUGGGAAUUAGCUGACAGGCUAAUACAAAGGAGGCAUCUCUAGUCCAGUUUCCUGCCGACUUGGGCUAAUUGUCCACUAGGCCUGAUACCCUGGUGCUUUUCUCUGUAAAGAAUAAUAACUGAGCACCUAACAGAUGCCAGGAAUAGUCUGAAGCCCUUUACAGAGACGAGCUCAAUUAGUCCCGACAAUGCCGGGAGCCUGGUACUAUUGAGUAUUAAGCUUAUUAUCUUUUGAGGAGGCACCCAGGGUCCCAAGGGGUGAAGCAUCCAGCCCAAAGUCACACAUUUUGCAAGGAGUGAAGCUGACACUUGAACCCAGGACUGUCAGAGACACAUAAAGCAAGUUACCUUGCCACAAUGUCACACAGCCUCUAGUGAGCACAUCACCCAGGGGCUGCCAUGCCCUGACUGUGUGCCAGGCCCUACAGGAGUGGCACUACCAUGGCCUGGAGCCCUGUGAGCCAAGCAGGUGGGGAGAAAGGGAGGCGCAUGGAGCAGAGCGGGAUGGGGACAGGAGGGCGCAGUCCAGGAGGGCUGCAGGAAAGCAGGGUGCAGUGGGAAGGGCAUCACCACGCCAGAGGAACAGGGACGGCUCACAGAGGAGGUGGCACUUAAGGCUGGCCGAGAUUCCAGCGGGUGGAGGCAGGUGGGGAGAGGCAUUUCAUCUGAGCCAACAGCUACCUCCUGGAUCCCCAGGAGUUAGCUGGGAACAGGCCUACUGCCCCAUCUACUUAAGGGGCCUAAAAGACAGUGGGGUGAGGCUUUAAGACACUUCCCUGCGCUGGAUGAAAUACUCUGAGGCCUUUCAAGAUUUCUCUUACGGGAGUUCCCGUCUGUGGCACAGUGGCUAAUGAAUCCGACUAGGAACCAUGAGGUUGCGGGUUCGGUCCCUGCACUUGCUCAGUGGGUUAAGGAUCCGGCGUUGCUGUGAGCUGUGGUGUAGGUUGCAGACGCGGCUCGGAUCCUGCGUUGAUGUGGCUGUGGUGUAUGCCGGGCGGCCACAGUUCCAAUUCGACCCCUAGCCUGGGAACCUCCAUAUGUCGCGGGAGCAGCCCAAGAAAUAGCAAAAAAAAAAGAUUUCUCUUACGGCUCCCAGAGGCCUCGUUGUCGACCCUUCUUUCAAAGGUCACAGGGUGUAAUGAUGGGAAGAUUGUGGGGGGGCCAAGCUGCUCCUCGCCUCGACAACCCCUACCCCCUCAGAAGUGACACAGAUGCCCACUGUGUGGGUCCUGCACCAGCGAAGCAGAAAGAGGCACUGCUACCAGUGAACACACAACACUGCACAGAAGGAUUCUAGAAACUGGUGGUCCGCUUCCUCACAGGAGGGCCCACGGGCAGAGAGAAGGGUGGGAACAAAGAAACAAGAGAUGAGGGAGGCGCGAGACAGGGGCCAGCCUGGCAAACCCUGCCUCAAGGCCGAUGCCGCCAGUGACAUCACGUAAAUGUCAGGUAGCCCUGGCGGGCCGAGCUGAGAGGGCACCCCGCCCACGACCCCGUCUAAGUCUGAGAAAACACCAGACAAGCUCAGACGGGGGGCUGUGGGACAGGAAACCUGGGCCGCGCUCCUCAAGCCUGCCAAGGUCAGGAAGAGCGAGAAACACUGAGGAACUGUCCCCAACCAGAGGCAGGGGACACGUGACCACUGCAUGCAACGCGGGACCUUGGAAUAGAUCCUGGAGCAGUACAAGGCCGUUAGUGGAAAACCAGUGAAAUCCAAACAAAACCUGGAGUUCAGGAGUUCCCGUUCUGGCACAGUGGAAACGAAUCCGACUAGGAACCAUGAGGUUACGGGUUCGAUCCUUGGCCUUGCUCAGUGGGUUAAGGAUGUGACGUUGCCAUGAGCAUCACUGCUGUAGGUUGCAGGCGCAGCUCGGAUUCUGUGUGGCUGUGGCUGUGGCGUAGGUCAGCGGCUAUGGCUCUGAUUGGUCCCCUAGCCUGGGAACCUCCCUAUGUCAUGGGUGUGGGUCUAAAAAGAUCAAAAAAAAAAAAAAAAAA